rnacentral:rRNA from 1 species
AUGAUAAUUUGCAGUCAGAAGAAGCCCAUGCAUACUUUGUCGCCUAAAAGACUAUCAGAUCCUACUCAAGAUUUAACGUUGUACUUACAUCAACAUGACAUUACUUGCAAGCUUGAGACGGUUAAUGACUCUAUUAUUAAGGAAGCUCAUCGCUUGCAUCAAAUCGAAUUGCGUGAAAAAGAACAUUUAAAGUUCUUGCGCCUUCUUCUUAAGGAUUUUAUGAUUGAAGCUGGCAUUGACACUGAGAAUUGGAUUCUAAUCCAAUUAGCAACAGCUCUGAAGAUGAUCUGUUACCCUGGAGCAUCGUAUAGAGUUUACCGCCCUGAUAAGAUUUUCUUACAUGGCGAAUAUGCAAAGAUGAAGGCCCAUGCAUCUGGAUAUGAUAUAAUCUUUUCUAAGAUUGAUGUCUUGGUUGUCUACGAAGAUGUUAUUGCUCUCAACUCAGAGAAGUACUUCUUAUUGUCCAAAUUGGAUGUAUUUGUCAAGAAGGCUGCAGAAGAUUGGAAGAAGGCAAAUGCUGUCAGGUUACGCAAAGAUCAUGCUUCAGGGACUGAUUUAUGCACUGCCUCCUAA